rnacentral:rRNA from 1 species
UACGUAGGGGGCAAGCGUUGUCCGGAUUUAUUGGGCGUAAAGCGCGUGUAGGCGCCAGGUAGGUCCGCUGUGAAAACUCGAGGCUCAACCUCGAGACGUCGAUGGAAACCAUCUGGCUAGAGUCCGGAAGAGGAGAGUGGAAUUCCUGGUGUAGCGGUGAAAUGCGUAGAUAUCGGGAGGAACAUCAGUGGCGAAGGCGGCUACCUGGCCCAAUACUGACGCUGAGGAACGAAAGCUAGGGGAG